CAUCACUUCAGUGGCUACUGCCAGUCACCAUCUAGCCCCCUUUCACUGGGGCUGACGGCAGUGUACAAGCCAUUCAUCACAGGCAAGGGGGGUUUGGACCUGCUGCCUUGGCCUACCCCUGGGCUGCCUCCUGCAACCCCAGUACCUUUCCGGCCUUUACCUUAAAAACGAGUGUCCUGUGCUCAUCUGCUUAUCAGCGCUCCGUUUCCCAGCCCAGGAAUACGAACUAUAGAUCUGAUCUGAACUGCGUGUGUGUGAAGGAACACAGAUGUCACUCCGGCAUUCGCUUCAAACCUGCUGUUCCAGCCCUGCCUCUCUGGGGUACCAGCCAGGUUGAAGGCGAGACACACCCACCCACUAUCAGUGCAACAAGGAGGGAGAACAGUAGCUGGGGCCAAGAGAAGAUGCAAUGAAACCCUCCUGUCCCCACAGCUGAUAUCUGAACAGCAUCCGUCACUCUGCAGAUCAAAGAAAGGAAGAGCAGCCAGUAUUCAGCCAGGUAGGAUCCUUAUGACCCAUAGAGGAGAAGUGCACAUUCUACGUAAACUGUAGCCGUUUCCCAACAGAGUUUUCUUAUGGACUUAUUUAUUAAGCAAAAAUUAAGACUAGGAGUCUGGUUUAAAUUAUGUAAAUUUUCCGUUGUAGUUAACUGUGGAACGAUUGCAGUGACUUUUAUUUUACUCCUGCCUUCAUAAACAGCUACAGAGUUAGAACCGAUAAUUACAGAGACUAAAGUACAGGCUUUAAUAUAAUUAGGACCGGGCCACCCAAGGUGAAAACUACACCAUGGACGAGUCCUACAACCAGGUAUUUGAGGCCAAUCCCUUUAGCAAUGGAAUCCUCAACCAAAGCGUGAGGAAGGAGAAGAGUACAUCCUCGAACUUCUGACAAUAAUUCACCAUCAGCCACCAAGAAAACCAGCACCGUUCACAUUCUGGUUUUGGAUAAAACACCUGAUCUUGCCUACAUCAGAGAAAUCUUCUUCCCUCCAAGCCUGCACCCCACUACCCCCUUUAGCGAUAACGUAACCAUCAAACAAGUUCUGAAUCAGUCGUCUUUCUUCCCAAUUUAGUUUUAACAAAAAAAGCUGCGACGUAAGUAGCUAUGAGAGAUGACAGCGCAACUACUAGGUAUCGGUGGGGGGAAGUGUGCUAGUAAUGUCCUGGAUAUGCUGGUCUGUUAAGUGUUAUUGCUUUUAAUAUGCGAAUGUAAACACUGUAAUAGAGUAUUAAUGUCCCAAUGUACUGUAGCUUGUUUUCACUUAACGUAAUACUCGAAGUGGUGCAUGUGAAAAGUGUCUUAAAAGCUGACACUACAGCAGUGAUAUUCCCAAGCCAGCA
rnacentral:lncRNA from 1 species